UUGACCUCAAAUCAGGUAGGAUUACCCGCUGAACUUAAGCAUAUCAAUAAGCGGAGGAAAAGAAACUAACAAGGAUUCCCCUAGUAACUGCGAGUGAAGCGGGAAAAGCUCAAAUUUAAAAUCUGGCGGUCGUUGGCCGUCCGAGUUGUAAUCUAGAGAAGUGUUACCUGUGCUGGACCGUGUACAAGUCUCCUGGAAUGGAGCAUCAUAGAGGGUGAGAAUCCCGUCUUUGACAUGGACUGCCUGUACAUGAUGGUGCGCUCUCGAAGAGUCGAGUUGUUUGGGAAUGCAGCUCAAAAUGGGUGGUAAAUGCCAUCUAAAGCUAAAUAUUGGCGAGAGACCGAUAGCGAACAAGUACCGUGAGGGAAAGAUGAAAAGAACUUUGGAAAGAGAGUUAAACAGUACGUGAAAUUGCUGAAAGGGAAACGCUUGAAGUCAGUCGCGUUGGCUAGAAAUCAGCCUUGCUCUUGCUCGGUGUACUUUCUUGUCGACGGGUCAGCAUCAGUUUUGACCAUUGGAGAAGGACAUUGGGAAUGUGGCAUCCUUGGAUGUGUUAUAGCCCGGUGUCGCAUACGAUGGUUGGGAUUGAGGAACUCAGCACGCCGCAAGGCCGGGUCUCUGACCACGUUCGUGCUUAGGAUGCUGGCAUAAUGGCUUUAAUCGACCCGUCUUGAAACACGGACCAAGGAGUCUAACAUGCCUGCGAGUGUUUGGGUGGAAAACCCAUGCGCGCAAUGAAAGUGAAAAGUUGAGAUCCCCUUUAUCAAGGGAGCAUUGACGCCCGGACCAGACCUUUUGCGACGGAUCCGCGGUAGAGCAUGUGUGUUGGGACCCGAAAGAUGGUGAACUAUGCCUGAAUAGGGUGAAGCCAGAGGAAACUCUGGUGGAGGCUCGUAGCGAUUCUGACGUGCAAAUCGAUCGUCAAAUUUGGGUAUAGGGGCGAAAGACUAAUCGAACCAUCUAGUAGCUGGUUCCUGCCGAAGUUUCCCUCAGGAUAGCAGAAACUCGUAUCAGAUUUAUGUGGUAAAGCGAAUGAUUAGAGGCCUUGGGGUUGAAACAACCUUAACCUAUUCUCAAACUUUAAAUAUGUAAGAACGAGCCGUCUCUUGACUGGACCGCUCGAUGAUUGAGAGUUUCUAGUGGGCCAUUUUUGGUAAGCAGAACUGGCGAUGCGGGAUGAACCGAACGCGAGGUUAUGGUGCCGGAAUUCACGCUCAUCAGACACCACAUAAGGUGUUAGUUCAUCUAGACAGCAGGACUGUGGCCAUGGAUGUCGGAAU
rnacentral:rRNA from 1 species